ensembl:lncRNA
GUCGUUUUCUAUGGCAUGCCUUGUUUCCCUGGGGAGUGGUUUGGCGUCACACCUCUGUGUCAUCAAGCUUCAGUGGGGGCUGAUACACGGAGCUGGUGAGUUGUGUUUGUGUCUCUCUCCCUUCGAUUUUUUUUUAAAACUUUUGUAUGGUGCAUUACCCUGCUUCGCAACGUGCUUUUGGGCACGUGGGAGAAAUUCCCUGGUGUGUAGACGAUUUUCCGUCAUUUAAUUGUUGGAAGGGCCGACUUUUAGAAUUCGCAAAACAAAAGUACUUUCUUCAAGUAUAAUUACUUACAAUUUCAAACACAAAAAAUCAAAAAGUGAGUUGCCAAAUCAGCUGAUGAUCGAGACGGAGGCUGGCACAAAUUAUGUCAACGAGCAACACUGUUCCUGUAAAGCUGGCUCCACAGGGUUCUGCGCCCACAUCAUUGGGCUUAUCCAUACCCUGGACCCAGGCCUACAACUACAGACAGAAAAAGGAGACCCAUCUUCUGCCAAUACAACAACAACAACAGGGCCAUGUCUGAGGUCACAGAUCAGGAUAUUUUGUUGUUGAGGGAACUGACAGGGACACCUAUGAGCUACAUAGCAAGCAAACCCCCGAUGGAUGUAGAAUUAGGUCAGGAGAAGUACCCUCUUGGAAGUGGCUUGAGCUACCAGGGUGAGUAGCCUCAGCUUGGACAACAGCUUGUGAAGAGAGAGAAGCUACGGAUACAAAAUGGCAGAGAACAGAUGGAAUAACGACAAAUUUGAAGAUGAGCCAUUUGAAUUCGAUGGGCGUCUGUAUUUAUUCGAAUCCGAAUAUACAGAUGAAGAGCUGCGGGAGCGGGACGAAAGGGCUGCCAGAGAGCGACAGCGUGCGGCCGCCGCAACCACUGACCUAGCACCGGCUCGAACCUCGGGAAAGUGGUGGUGUACCUGCCACUGUUGUGAAGUUCUGCCAACAGAACACGAGUGUUGAUGUUGCCGGGAUUGGGCCCUUUUGGGGAAUGAAACUCCGGACACUUGUGUGGCAUUAACCGAAGAGUUCUCUUCUGUAUCAAACCUGGCUGUUCUGGAAAAGUUUUUCCAUGUCCCAAAAAUAAAUUGGAGCCGGAGACCCAUACCUGAGGGGCCAGAUGGACAUAUAUCCGCUGACUACGCCACAUCGGGAACAUGUCCUGAAGAGUUCCAUCAGAUUGGCCUCAUCAACUAGCCACUUUCUUCCUGCCUAUCCAUUGGUGAUGCAACUGCCAGAGUCAGAGACAGAGGCAGACCCAGUUCUUGGGCUGGAAGAAGUUGAGUGCAGAGGGGCACAAAGUCUUCAUCAGCAAGGUCAACCUCCAUCUCCCCAAAGCUGCGGCUAAGGUCCUGCACAGAUGUCUCUUCGUCUUCCUGGUGAUGUAAUGACAUGUGAAAAUUGUCAGUCAAAAAAUAAUCGACAAGUAAUUGGGAUUAAAACACAUUCAGUUACUUCAGUGGUGUAAGAAGGGUGAAAUGAAAGUGAAAAGUGAACCAAAUACCCAUGUUGCUGAACACAGCUUACAUCUGAUGCUUGCCACAUUGGGGGUCAUGCAAGACAAAUGCCAGAAGAUGAUGGCCUAUUUCGUGCCCUUCCUGUAGGCUGAUGGGGGCUUGACAGUGAAAACCUGAGGGCAGAGGACAGACCAAAACUCCUAGGUGGCAACUGUUCCACGCCAUGUCUCUUGGUGGGCGUGGACUGAGGGGGUGGAAAUUCAACCUCAUAGAUGUGGUGUUCCGGAUUUAUCCCGUGAAAAGUGUAGAUACAAAGAUAAUGGAGCCACGAGGAUCACCAGACGUCCCCGAUUUCCAGGGACAGUCCCCGUUUUCGGUGAUCUGUCCCCGGUCAAAGCUGUCCCCGGAAAUGUCCCCGAUUUUGACAGUGAAUGGGGGAAAAAUGCGCGCAG